rnacentral:RNase_P_RNA from 1 species
AUGUUCGGGUAAUCGCUGGAUUGCUUGACAAUUCAGAGGAAAGUCCAUGCUCGCACAGGCUGCGAUGCCUGUAGUGUUUCGUGCCUAGCGAAGUCAUAAGCUAGGGCAGCUGGGCAGUGAUGCUCGGUUGACGGCGGAGAACAGACCUAAGUCCAAUUUGGAUAUGGUCCUAUUAUCCUGAAAGUGCCACAGUGACGGAGUCUUGCAAGAAAUUGCAAGAGUGGAACGCGGUAAACCCCUCGAGCGAGAAACCCAAAUAAUGGUAGGGGCAUCUUCCUGAAGGAACUGAACGGAGGGAAGGACAAGUAGGUAUCCUAUUUGUAGAUAGAUGAUUGCCGCCGGAGUACGAGGUGUUGCUUGCCGUUUGAAGUACGAAGGAACAAAACAUGGCUUACAGAA